CUCCGCUCCUCCCCAAAUCCAUUCGGCACCCUCCACUUCGGCGCGGGCACGAGGUCGCCGUAGUCACUAGCGACUGACCUGGACGCCGGCACGGCGCGAGCAUGAGGCUGCCGAGGGCACCGACGACCGUCCGGUACCCCGGUGUGGCACAGGCAUGAGGUCACCGCGAGGACCGGCGACCGGUCCGGACUCCAGCGUGGCGGGGGCUCCAGCGAGCAGUCAGGACACCAACGUGUGUUCGAGCGUGAGUUCCCUUAAGGCACGAGGCCACCGCAGGCUUGGGAGAUCCACGACCCGAGGCUCACGGGGAAGCGCCACUGGCUAGGCACCGCCGCCGCCGCCGCCGCCGUGGUUUGGGGAUGGAGGCAGCCCGCCGAAGCGAGGCACGAAGUAUGUGAUGGUUGUUCUUAAAGGUUCAGUCCCUAUGGCAUUUGGAGGUACCCAGGAGCCUCCAAAUCUUUGAUAUUGUCCUUAUGCGAGAAAUCUAAAUACUUUGUGAGCAUACCAAAUGUGCUCUCAUGUCAUCAGCAUAUGUACAUUUACACUGCGAGAACUACAUCAAGUGAUUGAUGGAUUAUUGGAAUUUCAUUUGGAAGAGAUGACAAGGUCAGAAUGAGCUUAGAUGUACACUGGUGCAGCAAGAGGAUCAAAGUGCACAUGGUGGCUAUUUUUGAAAGAUUUUGUUAUGCAAGCAAAUCAUAUGAGUUGUAUUGUACAAGCUACCCUCUUAAUUUUGUAGCUACUUGCGUGUAGCUUGCUUAUUGCCUUUGUAUUUUCUAUGAAAAAUUGUACAAGUACAAAUGUUGAUGGUUUCAAUGAAAAGAUGACCAAUAUUUUGUCAA